AAAGUGAGCAAUGGACAUGUCUGUGAUUGGUUGAUGCUCGCUUUGACCUCAGUGGAAUGCUGUAAUUGACACUUUUCAAUCAUAAGUUAAUUGUAGCAGCUGUUAAUUGUAAUCUCAAUUGUGCAGCCGUCGUUUUCCUUUUUGUCCUGAAACUCUAUUUCCAUGUUUACAUUAGAUGAAUCACAGAUUGUGGCCUUAUCCCAAAUGCACCGUGCCUUUCAUGCUUCUAUACACACGGGACACACGCAGCGCUCACAACAGACGUGUUGAAAGACACCUGGAACAGCUGCGGCACAUACAUUCACACGAGAAUCCUAAUCAACCAUUCUGACAUAUUACACAGAUUUAAAUAUUAUCAGACAUGUUUUAAAACCAUGACAUGAUUGUGAUGGGAGAGAGACAAAGGCUGACAGGCAGAGAGAGAGAGAGAGAGAGAGAGAGAGUUUACACUGUUGCUGUGUCUCGCUCACAUUCCAGCCCAUGUGAGAGCGCAGUGAAAUCCAAACUGCUGGAAAACUUGCCUUAAAACAGACUCAAACAUUAGUGUGCUAUUAUUAGACUCGUGUUCUGUUUGUGAGCGGCUCUUAAAGGGGAACGGGAUGUCCCGCAGGCUCACUGUCCUCUCGUGAAGACCGGAAUGUCUGUGUGUGUUCAGUGUGAAAUGUGGAUCGUAUCCGCGUGCACUGGAGCCGUUAGAGUCUCCUCUAAAACACUUUUGUCAUCAUUCUUGGGUCAAUGACGUGACUUUUGUCCAGAUCUAUCGGGUUAUUCAAAAACAAAUAAAAUGCAAUUCACACGUUCACAAUCACUCUUCUACGAUGACCGUGUUUUCAGUUUCUGAGUUGAACAUCAUUUACGUUUUUUUCCUUCUGGGUCUUUAAGUAUAAAGUGUCACGUGGUGUAACCGUGCAAAGUAGAGGUCGAUGAUAUAUCGGUUUUACCGAUUAAUCGGCGCUUUUUGGAACUAUCGGUUAUCUGUAAAUCAUCUGUCAAUAGUUGCCGAUAGUUUUACAUUAUUUAGUCAUUUCAAAAUAAGAGUCCGGUGUGUUUUGGGGCUUGUUGUGCAUCAAAUCAGAAUUUUGGUUGAACAAUAAACUGCAUCUGGGAUUUAAUUCAUUUGGGCUCUUAUUCUAAGGAAUACGAUUUUUUAUUAGUAUUGCAUGAAUCAAUUUUAAAAACUAUCGGCUGAUUAAUCGGUUAUCGGCCUUUCCCACCACCACAGUUAUCGGUAUCAGCAAAAUCCACUAUCGGUCGACCUCUAAUCCGGAGACAUCCAUCCAUCCAUCUUCAACCGCUUAUCCGAAGUCGGGUCGCGGGGGCAGCUGCUCCAGCAGGGGGCUCCAAACUUCCCUAUCCCGAGCCACAUUAACCAGCUCUGACUGGGGGACCCCGAGGCGUUCCCAGACCAGUGUGGAGAUGUAAUCUCUCCACCUAAUCCUGGGUCUUCCCGAGGCCUCCUCCCAGCUGGACGUGCCUGAAACACCUCCCUAGGGAGGCGGCCAGGGGGCAUCCUUACCAGAUGCCCAAACCACCUCAACUGACUCCUUUCGACGCAAAGGAGCAACGGCUCUACUCCGAGCUCCUCACGGAUAACUGAGCUCCUCACCCUCUCUCUAAGGGAGAAGCCCGCCACCCUUCUGAGGAAGCCCAUUUCGGCCGCUUGUACUCAUGACCUAGUUCUUUCGGUCAUGACCCAGCCUUCAUGACCAUAGGUGAGGGUAGGAACGAAAAUUGACCGGUAGAUCGAGAGCUUUGCCUUCCAGCUCAACUCUCUUUUCGUGACAACGGUCCGAUUCUCCGGCCAACCUCCCGCUCCAUUGUAGAGUGGAGGAGGGCGGGGCCGGGCUGGAACAGCGCACGCCCGGUCCCCAAUCAGCCUGAUGGGGCGUGCGAGGGAGAGAGAGAAGAGAGAAGAAGCUCAGUCACUGGGUCUCUGAUGCGCCGUCGCGUGGACGACAGCCGCUCCUCCCCAGGCGGACCAGAGUCAACAGAACGCCCCUCCGUUUUUCUGGCGGCACGUUGGGACAGUCCUCCGCCCGUGGCAGCGACUCCAUCGCUCCAGGUGGUCGGGGAGUCCCAACCCUCCUCGCGGGCUACUCUGCCCCCUGGCGGAUGGCAGCGCCACACCCCUGGGUGGACGGCAGUGUCGAUGACUCUACAACAGGCAUCCCUCCUCCUGGGACUUCCUGGGUUUCGGCACCAGUGUUAAGGGGGUUUAGAUGGGCAAGGAGGAGGCGAGAACCGGCUUAACAAUAUAAAUAAGAUUUAAUUAAAUAAAAAGACAAACACACACAGGGCAGCUGCCCGUAAUUCUCUCUCUCUCAAACUGUCAUCACCAGCCGCCUUUAUCCGUUGCGCCCCAUCAGGCUGAUUGGACCGGGGGACCUGGCGUGCAUCAUUCCAGUGCAUCUUUGAUGCAUCUUGUGUGUUCCCUGUGAUUCGAACCCUUGACCUUGAUGUCGUUAGCAUGUGCUCUGCCAAGUGAUCCCUGUUACCACUGUUGAUGUCAUCUGCUCUCUCACC